UUGACCUCGGAUCAGUACGUCGUC
rnacentral:rRNA from 1 species